rnacentral:rRNA from 1 species
CCUANGGGCGGCAGCAGUGGGGAAUAUUGGACAAUGGGCGCAAGCCUGAUCCAGCAAUACCGCGUGUGUGAAGAAGGCCUGAGGGUUGUAAAGCACUUUCAAUAGGGAGGAAAACCUGCCGGUCAAUACCCGGUAGCUUGACAUUACCUAUACAAGAAGCACCGGCUAACUCCGUGCCAGCAGCCGCGGUAAUACGGAGGGUGCAAGCGUUAAUCGGAAUUACUGGGCGUAAAGCGUGCGUAGGCGGUUUGCUAAGUCAGAUGUGAAAGCCCCGGGCUUAACCUGGGAACGGCAUUUGAAACGGGGUAACUUGAGUUGAGUAGAGGGGAGUGGAAUUUCAGGUGUAGCGGUGAAAUGCGUAGAUAUCUGAAGGAACACCAGUGGCGAAGGCGACUCCCUGGACUCAAACUGACGCUGAGGUACGAAAGCGUGGGUAGCAAACAGGAUUAGAUACCCCANUANUC